GACGAACGCUGGCGGCGUGCCUAAUACAUGCAAGUAGAACGCUGAAGGAGGAGCUUGCUUCUCUGGAUGAGUUGCGAACGGGUGAGUAACGCGUAGGUAACCUGCCUGGUAGCGGGGGAUAACUAUUGGAAACGAUAGCUAAUACCGCAUAAUAGUAGAUGUUGCAUGACAUUUGCUUAAAAGGUGCAAUUGCAUCACUACCAGAUGGACCUGCGUUGUAUUAGCUAGUUGGUGGGGUAACGGCUCACCAAGGCGACGAUACAUAGCCGACCUGAGAGGGUGAUCGGCCACACUGGGACUGAGACACGGCCCAGACUCCUACGGGAGGCAGCAGUAGGGAAUCUUCGGCAAUAGACGGAAGUCUGACCGAGCAACGCCGCGUGAGUGAAGAAGGUUUUCGGAUCGUAAAGCUCUGUUGUAAGAGAAGAACGAGUGUGAGAGUGGAAAGUUCACACUGUGACGGUAUCUUACCAGAAAGGGACGGCUAACUACGUG
rnacentral:rRNA from 1 species